rnacentral:siRNA from 1 species
GAUGGUUCAGAAAGUCCUCGAGC